GAUGAACGCUAGCGGCAGGCCUAAUACAUGCAAGCCGAACGGCAAGUUGAGUAGCAAUACUUGACCUAGAGUGGCGUAAGGGUGCGUAACACGUAUGCAAUCUACCCGCAACAGGAGGAUAGCUCCCCGAAAGGGGAAUUAACCCUCCAUGGGAUCUUUAGGUGGCAUCACUGGAAGAUUAAACCGCAAGGGGUUGUGGAUGAGCAUGCGCAUGAUUAGUUAGNGGCGGGGUAACGGCCCACCAAGACGAUGAUCAUUAGGGGAACUGAGAGGUUGAUCCCCCACACUGGCACUGAGAUACGGGCCAGACUCCUACGGGAGGCAGCAGUAGGGAAUAUUGGACAAUGGGUGAGAGCCUGACCCAGCCAUGCCGCGUGCAGGAAGAAAGCCUUCUGGGUUGUAAACUCCUGUCAACCGGGACGAAUGCAGUCUGGCCUAAU
rnacentral:rRNA from 1 species